UACAGGGGAUGCAAGCGUUAUCCGGAAUGAUUGGGCGUAAAGCGUCUGUAGGUGGCUACCUAAGUCGGAUGUGAAAGCCCCUGGCUUAACUGGGGAAGUGCACCCGAAACUGAGUAGCUAGAGUGCGAAAGAGGGUCGCGGAAUUCCCGGUGUAGAGGUGAAAUUCGUAGAUAUCGGGAGGAACACCGGUGGCGAAGGCGGCGACCUGGGUCGACACUGACGCUGAGGCGCGAAAGCGUGGGGAGCAAACAGG
rnacentral:rRNA from 1 species